rnacentral:rRNA from 1 species
CAAGUCGAACGCGAAAGCCCCGCAAGGGGUAAGUAGAGUGGCAAACGGGUGAGUAACACGUGGGUGACCUACCUUCGAGUGGGGGAUAACGUCCCGAAAGGGACGCUAAUACCGCAUGACAUCCUGCGUUUGGAAACGCGGAGAUCAAAGCCGGGGAUCGCAAGACCUGGCGCUUGAAGAGGGGCCCGCGCCUGAUUAGCUAGUUGGUGGGGUAACGGCUCACCAAGGCAACGAUCAGUAUCCGGCCUGAGAGGGCGGACGGACACACUGGGACUGAGACACGGCCCAGACUCCUACGGGAGGCAGCAGUGGGGAAUUGUUCGCAAUGGGCGCAAGCCUGACGACGCAACGCCGCGUGGAGGACGAAGAUCUUCGGGUCGUAAACUCCUGUCGAGCGGGAAGAACGCUUCCCGGGUGAAUAAUCCGGGGAAUUGACGGUACCGCUAAAGGAAGCCCCGGCUAACUCCGUGCCAGCAGCCGCGGUAAUACGGGGGGGGCAAGCGUUGUUCGGAAUUACUGGGCGUAAAGGGCUCGUAGGCGGCCAACUAAGUCGGAUGUGAAAUCCCCAGGCUUAACCUGGGAACUGCAUCCGAUACUGGAUGGCUUGAAUCCGGGAGAGGGAUGCAGAAUUCCAGGUGUAGCGGUGAAAUGCGUAGAUAUCUGGAGGAAUACCGGUGGCGAAGGCGGCAUCCUGGACCGGCAUUGACGCUGAUGAGCGAAAGCUAGGGGAGCAAACGGGAUUAGAUACCCCGGUAGUCCUAGCCCUAAACGAUGAAUGCUUGGUGUGGCGGGUAUCGAUCCCUGCCGCGCCGAAGCUAACGCAUUAAGCAUUCCGCCUG